AUGCUGCCGAUCCUCCCGACGCCGCCCAGGAGCAAAAUGCUGCCGCUGUUGCCGACGCCGCACGGUCUCGUCCUCACCAUGCUGGUCUCCGCCAUGGCAGGCCGCGCCGACUUCGUCCAGAGGUGGGACUGGAACAAGAAGUGCAAGAACUCCUCCUCGUCGUCGGGCAGCGAGAGCACCGAUCGCGCCGACUCCGUCGAGAGGUGGGACUGGAACAAGAAGUGCAAGAAGCCAUGCGGCUCCAUCUGCUCCUCGUCGUCGUCGUCGUCGGAGGGCAGCGGGAGCACCGGUCGCGCCGACUCCGUCGACAGGUGGAACUCGGACAAGAAAUACAAGAAGCCCCGCACAGCCAUGUCGUCAUCGUCGUCAUCGUCAUACAGCGCCGGGAGCCCCGGGCGCGCCGACUCCGUCGAACGCUGGGACAGCAAGAAGAAGCUGGCGACCUCGUGCAGCGCGUCCCUGCCCACAGAUCUCGGCCGCCAUGACGACAACAACAAGCGCCUGCCUAGCCCUAGCCGCGCGUCCUCGGUGGAGCGCUGGGACUUGCACAAGAAGCCUCGCCCGGAGCAGAUGGAGAAGCUGCCUCGGACUAAUAACGCAGCAGCGACGACGCUGGCGCUAGCCACGACCUCGCAGAAGGCCAUGUUCGCCGGGUCCAACUUUCACGCCUCGCCGGAUCCGAGCAUGCUCCCCAUGCCGCCCUUCUUUCUGCUGGCACGUUCGCGUGCGCUCUGUACAAGUCAUUAA
rnacentral:rRNA from 1 species